UGCUGAUGAAGAGCUGAAGAAGCUAAAGAAAGUGACCAAGAAAGGUGCUGCUGCAACAUCAAAACCAAUCACAACUAAGAAGAAGUCUGCUGGCUCUGAUGAAGAACAUUCAUCACCAUCUGGUAGUCAGGCUGAUGACAAUGGAGAUGCAGAGGAUGAUGUUGAUGAUGAUGAUGGUGUUCAAUGGCAGACUGACACCUCUGCUGAAGCAGCCCGCAAACGUAUUCAAGAGCAGCUGAGUGCUGCUACUGCUGAGAUGGUUAUGCUUUCCACUGUUCCAGAGCCGAGCAAGGAGGAGAAUAAGCAGCCGAAGAAAGAGAAGUUACCUACGACCAAUGGGACUACAAAACCACCAGAAAAACCUACCAUUGUAGAAGAGAUAAAAGCUUAUGUGAAAAAGAAUUCUCCUGCUAGUGAGCUUGUGGCCUUUUUGGAGUCUCUGAGCGGGUCUCCUCAGGAAGUAAUGAAUUCACUUAUCGAAGGUCUAUUUGAGGGUGUGGGUAAAGGGCUUUCCAAGGAGGUGGGUAAGAAGAAAAAUUACUUUUCCGCUGUUGUCAAGGAUGAAAGGUCGCAGAUACUUUUGCUCCGUGCUCUGGAGGCUUUCUGUGAGAAAUCGGGCAGGGAGGCAGUGAAGGAGGUGCCGCUGGUUGUGAAGUUCAUGUAUGAUGGUGAUGUUCUGGAGGAGGAAUCAAUAGUGAAAUGGUAUGAGGAAGGUCUUUCUGGAAACAACAAGAGCUCUCAGAUGUGGAAAAAUAUGAAGCCUUUGAUCGAGUGGCUUCAGAGUGCUGAGACAGAUUCUGAUGAGGAGUGAUUGGUGGGUGACCUUGUCUCCUUUUGUUAUUGAACUUAAUUUGUUUGUUCUGUUUGUUUGUUCCAUCUGGGAGCCUAACUUCCAGUGUCGUGUUCCACCUGGGAGCCUUACUUCCAGUGUGGUGUUCAAUCUGUUUGGUUAUCUAGGAGCCUUACUUCCAGUGUCCUGUUUUUUAAACUUGUCAACAGUCGUUGCUCUCUUUAUGGGUUUUU
rnacentral:misc_RNA from 1 species